UUGACAGUUUGGCUUCCCUGUUCUGGGUGGCAAAGCCUGUGGAGUACUCACCUACCUGCUGCAUGAAGGCAGCAUGGAGGGACUGUGGUGGAUUAUCUGCAAAGAUGGCCAAAAUUCUCUCAUCCCUGCAGGCACAUACAAGAGAAGAACUGAAGCUCAGCUCUUCACCCUACAGAAAGCCUGAAUUUUGUAAAUGUUCUGCUUAGAAUGAGGAAGAAAGAUGAAGAAUGAGGAGGAAGAAGGAAGGAACGAGAGAGAGGUUGUUGCAUGGCAUAAGUAAAGUGACAGUUAUAGGAUACAUGCAACUUUUCAGUGACAAAGAUCUGUGCAGCAUCGACAGUACUGCCUAAUGAGGUUUCACCAUAAUGAAGUAUCACAACCAGUUUACAGACCAGAAAACUGAGACACAGGAAGGGGUGGUGACUUGAGCAAGGUGCAUCAGCUGCCAGGUUUCCAGAAGUUCCCCAGUCAUUGAGCAUUUCUGAGGCUCUUGAUGCAUAUGCCAAGUAGUUAUGGAGAAAGACACAGCAGCUUACCUCUGCAGGCAUCAUUGUGUGAAAGGAAGACCCAGGCUCUCUCACCACCCUUGAACAGAAGCCUUUUGCUAAGGUGAUAGCUACAUGUCCAAGCCUAUUGCGUGGCAUGCAUUUUGCCUUCUGCAGCCCACUAAAGGUGAGCAGUAAAUGUGUUUGCUAUUUCCCCAAAAGGAAAUUGAAGUAUACAGAAUGCUUAUUUGGUCUACUCAGUAUCAUCCUAAAUGUAUGUACCAAUGCUUAGGAGUUUGCAGUUCACCCGCAAACCUCAGCGAUCCAAGCUCCCCUGGAUGACCAUCACUCACCAAGAAAAGAGCAAUAACAGGACCUGUUUUGCUAAUCCAGGACUGUUCUCCAGCACUAACUCUAAAUAAUCCCUUCU
rnacentral:lncRNA from 1 species